GACGAAGGAUGCAAGCGUUAUCCGGAUUCAUUGGGUUUAAAGGGCGCGUAGGUGGCCUUGUAAGUCAGUGGUGAAAUCCUGUCGCUUAACGAUAGAAUUGCCAUUGAUACUGCAGGGCUUGAGUACAGUUGCCGUUGGCGGAAUAUGUCAUGUAGCGGUGAAAUGCUUAGAUAUGACAUAGAACACCAAUUGCGAAGGCAGCUGGCUACACAAAUAUUGACACUGAGGCACGAAAGCGUGGGGAUCAAACAGG
rnacentral:rRNA from 1 species